rnacentral:rRNA from 1 species
GACGAACGCUGGCGGCGUGCUUAACACAUGCAAGUCGAACGGAAAGGCCCUGCUUUUGUGGGGUGCUCGAGUGGCGAACGGGUGAGUAACACGUGAGUAACCUGCCCUUGACUUUGGGAUAACUUCAGGAAACUGGGGCUAAUACCGGAUAGGAGCUCCUGCUGCAUGGUGGGGGUUGGAAAGUUUCGGCGGUUGGGGAUGGACUCGCGGCUUAUCAGCUUGUUGGUGGGGUAGUGGCUUACCAAGGCUUUGACGGGUAGCCGGCCUGAGAGGGUGACCGGCCACAUUGGGACUGAGAUACGGCCCAGACUCCUACGGGAGGCAGCAGUGGGGAAUAUUGCACAAUGGGCGGAAGCCUGACGCAGCAACGCCGCGUGCAGGAUGACGGCCUUCGGGUUGUAAACCGCUUUCGCCUGUGACGAAGCGUGAGUGACGGUAAUGGGUAAAGAAGCACCGGCUAACUACGUG